CAUGUAAUCCCUCCGUCCGGAAAUACUUGUCAUCAAAAUGGAUAAAAGGAGAUGUAUCUAGAUGUAUUUUAGUUCUAGAUACAUCCUUUUUUGUCCAUUUUGAUGACAAGUAUUUUCGGACGGAGGGAGUAUAUU
rnacentral:pre_miRNA from 1 species